rnacentral:rRNA from 1 species
UACAGAGGUCUCGAGCGUUAGGCGGAAUCACUGGGCUUAAAGCGUGUGUAGGUGGAUCGUUAAGUACCUUGUGAAAUCCCACGGCUUAACCGUGGAACUGCUUGGUAUACUGGCGGUCUUGAGCAACCUAGGGGCGAGCGGAACAAAUGGUGGAGCGGUGAAAUGCGUAGAUAUCAUUUGGAACGCCAAUGGUGAAAACAGCUCGCUGGGGGUUUGCUGACGCUGAGACACGAAAGCCAGGGGAGCGAACGGG